rnacentral:rRNA from 1 species
GAUCCUGGCUUAGGAUGAACGCUAGCUACAGGCUUAACACAUGCAAGUCGAGGGGCAGCAUGAACUUAGUUUGCUAAGUUUGAUGGCGACCGGCGCACGGGUGAGUAACACGUAUCCAACCUUCCGUUUACUCAGGGAUAGCCUUUCGAAAGAAAGAUUAAUACCUGAUAGUAUGGUGAGAUUGCAUGAUAACACCAUUAAAGAUUUAUUGGUAAACGAUGGGGAUGCGUUCCAUUAGGUAGUAGGCGGGG